rnacentral:rRNA from 1 species
AUGGCUUCAAAGUUUUUCCUCCUUGCCCUGUUGGCUUUCUCGGCUUCUCGUGCUCUUGCCUCUGACCCGGGCCAGCUUCAGGAUUUCUGCGUCGCUGACAAGACGUCUCAAGUUUUUGUCAAUGGAUUCGCAUGCAAGGACCCAAAGACCACAGUGGUAGAGGACUUCUACUUCUCUGGCCUCCACAUGGCCGGCAACACAAGCAACAAGCAAGGCUCCAUUGUGACUGCAGUUAACGUGGCACAGAUUGCCGGGUUGAACACUUUGGGUGUCUCAUUGGCGCGUAUUGAUUAUGCACCUUAUGGUCAAAACCCACCGCACCUUCACCCUCGUGCAACCGAGAUCCCGACAGGUGCGAUUCCGGUAGUGAUUCACUUUCAGGUUAACAUUGGAAACAACGAAGCGAUAGCCAUUGCGGCGCUGAGCAGCAAGAACCCCGGUGUGAUCACCAUAGCCAAUGCAGUUUUUGGAUCCAAGCAAACCAUCUCAGAUGAUAUCCUAGCCAAAGCCUUCCAAGUGGACAAGAACAUCAUAGACCAUAUCCAAGCUCAAUUCUAG